CAAUCCAGCCUGGCCCCAGGGCUCAUUUGCAUGUGGCCUGCCCCUUAGGGCUCUAAAAGCUGCUACAGGAUUUCACAAAGGCAGGAACCAGCUGAACCCCAAGGACAGGGUUGGCUCCUUCUCUCCCUCUGUCCAUCUCCUCCCUGCACCAUGGCCCUGUGCGCUCUGCCUCUCUGUCUCCUGGGGCUGUUCCUGGCAGGUUCUUGUGCCCAGCACGUGGUGACGCAGCCGCCCUCAGUGUCGGGGUCUCCAGGGCAGACAGUGAAACUCUCGUGCAGCGUCAGUGGAGGAUACGACAUCAGUAGCAAUGGAGUGAGGUGGUACCAACAGACCCCAGGGAAUCCUCCCAGAAACCUGCUCUAUUAUUUCAGUGAUUCUAGCACAGGCAGGGGCACUGGGGUCCCGGACCGGUUCUCUGGCUCUGCCUCCGGCAGUGUUGGCUACUUAACCAUCUCUGGGCUCCAAGCCGAGGAUGACGCUGAUUAUUACUGUGCAACUUGGGACGACAGCGCUAAGAUGCUCACAGUGGUGUAAUCAGAGAGGGAACCGAGACAAAAACCUUUCACAUUUCACUGCCCAACACCGAGCGAGACUCUGAGGAAGAGCUUUGAGGCUAGUGGGGCACAGCUGUGGCCAGAGAGAGGUUCCCUUGGCCGUGUUGUACCCAGCCUUUGCUGAAGGGAUUGCUUUUCCCUCACACAAGAUCCCCCUCCUCCUAGACUAAUCUCCUGGCACUGCAUGGGGGGUGGGGGCUGCCCGCAGAUCGGGAGCUCUGGGAUCCUCUGCACAGAGGGGCUGUUCCAGCGUCCAUGGCAGGCUGAGGACUGUCAUAUUCUCUACACCCUCCCCAUCUCCUACUACACGGGCCACAUGUUCACAUCUGCUCCUCCACCCCCUGCACUUCUAGAAGUGACCCAGGUGUGUCUGAAGCUGAUACCUGCCACAGGAGAGCUGUAAAAUCACGCGUGUGGGUGGAGGUCUGGGGCCAGUCGGCCCGUCAGUGACAGGAAGGGUUUGGUAGCCAGGAUCUGAAUAGCCCAAUCUCACACAGAGUGAACCCAGUCACUUGGAUUCCGUGCUAUCCUGAGGGCCCAGAUCCAAGAUGGCUGCUACUCUGUGUUCCUGUCUCCACCAGAGACUAAAUCCAGCGUCAUCCUUCUCAUACAAUGAAUGCGUCAGCAGGGAAUGGCCCAAUAUCCCUAAAGUACCAACAGCAGGAGACCCUGAGAGAAUAACUCCAGCCAAGGGCUCUUUAUACCAGUUGGAAAUAGCAAAAAUCCAAGGCAGCAGAGAAGAGUCUUGGCCAUGUGUGUGUGUGAUGCAAGUUCAGUCCAGAUCCAUCCAUGUGGAAGUCUGUGUAAAUGGUAUCACAGGGCUACACACACCCUUCUGGUAGCAACGGUUUGCACGUGAGCACUUGGCUGGGCAGCUGCACUCUCCCCUCAUCCCUGCAACGUGAGCCCCAAAGCCUUUUGCUCCCUAAAACUAAUAGGGUGACACUGGGCAGGAAGAGGAAUCAGGACAGGGAGAUGAGCUGGAACUCAGUGAUUUAUAUACUGGCCUCCCUAGAGGUGGCUACAGAGCACAAUCCACCGUCUCCCUGCUCCCCUAGCCCAGCCACGGCAGAACAGGCACCAGCCC